UACGUAGGGGGCGAGCGUUGUCCGGAUUUAUUGGGCGUAAAGCGCGUGUAGGCGGUUUCUUAAGUCUGAUGUGAAAGCCCCGGGCUCAACCCGGGAAGUGCAUUGGAUACUGGGAGACUUGAAUACGGGAGAGGGUAGUGGAAUUCCUAGUGUAGGAGUGAAAUCCGUAGAUAUUAGGAGGAACACCGGUGGCGAAGGCGGCUACCUGGACCGAUAUUGACGCUGAGACGCGAAAGCGUGGGGAGCAAACAGG
rnacentral:rRNA from 1 species